UUUGAUCCUGGCUCAGGAUGAACGCUGGCGGUAUGCUUAACACAUGCAAGUCGAACGGGAUGCUUAGGCAUCUAGUGGCGGACGGGUGAGUAACGCGUGAGAAUCUGGCUCCAGGUCGGGGAUAACAGUUGGAAACGACUGCUAAUACCGGAUGUGCCGAGAGGUGAAAGAUUUAUCGCCUGGAGAUGAGCUCGCGUCUGAUUAGCUAGUUGGUGGUGUAAGGGACCACCAAGGCUUCGAUCAGUAGCUGGUCUGAGAGGAUGAUCAGCCACACUGGGACUGAGACACGGCCCAGACUCCUACGGGAGGCAGCAGUGGGGAAUUUUCCGCAAUGGGCGAAAGCCUGACGGAGCAAUACCGCGUGAGGGAGGAAGGCUCUUGGGUCGUAAACCUCUUUUCUCAAGGAAGAAGAAAGUGACGGUACUUGAGGAAUAAGCAUCGGCUAACUCCGUGCCAGCAGCCGCGGUAAUACGGAGGAUGCAAGCGUUAUCCGGAAUGAUUGGGCGUAAAGGGUCUGCAGGUGGAACUGAAAGUCUGCUGUUAAAGAGUUUGGCUCAACCAAAUAAAAGCGGUGGAAACUACAGAACUAGAGUGUGGUAGGGGCAAAAGGAAUUCCUGGUGUAGCGGUGAAAUGCGUAGAUAUCAGGAAGAACACCGGUGGCGAAAGCGUUUUGCUAGACCAUAACUGACACUGAGGGACGAAAGCUAGGGGAGCGAAUGGGAUUAGAUACCCCAGUAGUCCUAGCCGUAAACGAUGGAUACUAGGCGUGGCUUGUAUCGACCCGAGCCGUGCCGGAGCUAACGCGUUAAGUAUCCCGCCUGGGGAGUACGCACGCAAGUGUGAAACUCAAAGGAAUUGACGGGGGCCCGCACAAGCGGUGGAGUAUGUGGUUUAAUUCGAUGCAACGCGAAGAACCUUACCAAGACUUGACAUCCUGCGAAUCCCGGUGAAAGCCGGGAGUGCCUUCGGGAGCGCAGAGACAGGUGGUGCAUGGUUGUCGUCAGCUCGUGUCGUGAGAUGUUGGGUUAAGUCCCGCAACGAGCGCAACCCUCGUUUUUAGUUGCCAGCAUUAAGUUGGGCACUCUAGAGAGACUGCCGGUGACAAACCGGAGGAAGGUGAGGAUGACGUCAAGUCAGCAUGCCCCUUACGUCUUGGGCUACACACGUACUACAAUGCUACGGACAGAGGGCAGCAAGCCAGGGAUGGCAAGCGAAUCCACAAACCGUAGCUCAGUUCAGAUCGAAGGCUGCAACUCGCCUUCGUGAAGGAGGAAUCGCUAGUAAUUGCAGGUCAGCAUACUGCAGUGAAUUCGUUCCCGGGCCUUGUACACACCGCCCGUCACACCAUGGAAGUUGGUCACGCCCGAAGUCAUUACCCCAACCGAAAGGAGGGGGAUGCCUAAGGUAGGACU
rnacentral:rRNA from 1 species